UUCCUACGGGGGGCAGCAGUGGGGAAUAUUGCACAAUGGGGGGAACCCUGAUGCAGCGACGCCGCGUGAGUGAAGAAGUAUUUCGGUACGUAAAGCUCUAUCAGCAGGGAAGAAAAAAGGACGGUACCUGAGUAAGAAGCCCCGGCUAACUACGUGCCAGCAGCCGCGGUAAUACGUAGGGGGCAAGCGUUAUCCGGAAUUACUGGGUGUAAAGGGAGCGUAGACGGCGAUGCAAGUCUGAAGUGAAAGGCGGGGGCCCAACCCCCGGACUGCUUUGGAAACUGUAUGGCUGGAGUGCAGGAGAG
rnacentral:rRNA from 1 species